rnacentral:lncRNA from 1 species
GAUUUUAUUUUUUGGAUGUUGUCAGAAAUUACAGCAAUAUAUUCAUAAAUACCUAAUUACUACAUUCAACAAAUAAUAUUACAAUACAAUUAAUUCAAACAAGUACACUUAGAACAGGUUUAAUUUCACAGCAUCUAAACUGCCCCCAGAGUGACCGAGGCAUUCCUCCUCCCUCCCAUGUACUGGUUUUACUGUUCUAGCAAUUAAGCACAGGGUACAUACAAAGUAACACAACCAAUUAGAUGGUCUUCCUCAGGUCAAGGCAGAGAGAAGAGUUUCACUUAAGCGUUGGAUCAAGAAGUUGGGGCAGACAGGCUACUGCAAGUAGUGAGGAAGUCAGUAACUGGUUUCCUGGAAAAAGAGUGCAGGGAUGGCUAAGUGGCUAAUAUACACCUAAGAGUAACAGAAUCGGCUUAUGCUGACCAUCUCCAUCUUGUGGUAGAUCCUUAGAAUUUUCUACUUAAAAACAGCUCAGAGGUGAAAGGGGGUAUCUGAUUUUUGAGAUUUGGCAGCAUGAUUAAGCUACUUGAGGAAAGUACCAUUCCAUGUACAAACUUGGGAUUUCUUGUGUUGUAAUUCUCGGCUAUUGAAAGCGUGGGCUCCUUUUAAUGUUUUUGGAAUUUGCUUUAGGAUAUAAUCCUCUAGAAUGUAAAUGCCAAUUAAGUGUCUAGUUUCUUUCUAGAGGAAAAAACUAAGUCCUGUCUUGGUCACCUCUAGGAGAUCAUGGAUUGAGAUAUUUUAUGUCCAUUUGGCUUUAUGAAACAAAAUAUUUCCAAAUGAUCAGGUUAUAUAUAGUGCCAAGUUUUGGGGAGAGCUCUGGUUUGUUUCUAAUGAUCUGAUUAAAUGUGGAACCACACGCCUCAGCUCUGGAAGUUGAGUGCAGUCCCCUUUAGGACAGAUGGCAGCCGGAGCUUCCAGGUGUGGUAGGAAGACACAAGGUCGUGAAAGACGGAAGUCUUCACGAAAAUACUGACACAAGUUGCAUAAACAAUUCUAGAGCAAACUUGGUGUACUUCUGAACUUUGUCUUUUAAACUGUGUGAACUAGCUGAACAGAAAGCUUCAGAAAUUAUGUAUUUGUCAAUUUUUCAGCCCAAACUGAAGACUUAGGUGCUGCUGUGCUGUUUCUGAAUCAUCUGAAGAUUAUGGGAUGGGAAAAAAACCAUGAUUGGGCACCAGGUCUCACUGGUGUACUUUGCUUUCUUACCUUAGCUUUUUCAUGCUGCCUUACUGGUUUAUAUUCUGAUUGUCUUAUUACAGAUAGGUGAGCAUGUGGGGGAGUCAGAGUGACAGAAAGCAUGAAGGCAGGCGGGGGGGUGGGGGAGGUGGUAUUUCCAGCUGGAAGGAACAAGAAGAGUUCUAGCUCUGGGACAGAGCUGUACCCACAGCUGGUUGUAACCCACGGGCAGAGACCUCCCCUGUAUAGCUCCAUCCCUUUACCCCGCGACCUCCUCCCAUUACAGAAAAGCCCAACAAGGGGCUCCCCUUGGAUGGUGAAGGGCUGGGCUGUACUUCCUGUUUCCUCUGGCCAUUGCCAAGCUGAUUAGCAGGGGCAUCCAGCCCUUUCCUGUGAUUUUGGGGGGUAGGGUGGGGGACAGGGAGGGAGGUGCUAAGAUAUAACUCUUAAGCUUGCUGUUUCAGACUGGAAAUAGCAAGCAGACUUUUAGAGAAAUUCAAUAAUAGUUUCUCUGACUGUUGGCAGUAGAGCUCCCUCUGAACACCUGUCCCCACUUGUGGAACAUGUUGAUCUCUCAAUGUCUUUGCAGGGGAGGAGGCCCACAGAACAGGCCUUCGUUCUCUUCAAGUCGUUUUUGUGGAGAGGAAGGCGCUUGUUGACUGCUGAUAAUACUGGCGGCACUUUUUGUCUGAGUUUGCUAAUAACUGGAAGAUUCUUGGCAGACAUACAAAGCAAACGGUGUGGGAACAGAUAAAGCAACACAGUGCCAUCUGCCAGCAAGCUGUUCUGCACAGCUAAGGUCUGGGGCUGAGGGCGCGGCCACUGAUCACAGUGAGUAGCCUUCCUGAAGGUCAGCCAGCCCUUCCCCUGACCCAGGGUGAAGGGGACAGCGGCCAUCAAGAUUCUUGCCUCUACUCCCACCCCUGACAGACCAACCACUGGCUGCUCUGGGUCUCUGGUUUGGGCCCAUUCGGCAAGAGGUUACCUGCUUGAUCUAGAGUAGACACUGCCUGAAUGAGCAGUAACUGGGACAAGGAGGAAACACUGCUUCGCACUGAGAUGGCAUUCCCAGCUGCUCCUAUGCUCAUGACCAUGUAAGUUCGAGAGGAGGAGAAGUUCAGCUCAGACAUUGUUUACCCUACUUUUAGGCUUUUACAAAGCUUUGCAUCUAAAUAAAGCUUCUAAAGUUUCUACUUUGCACCUGUUCUCAGACUGCUGUAAGACACCUUAGAAUCCUAUCACAGAACUCGCUCACUUCCUGACCGGUUCUUUCAACAGAGCCGUGUGCACGCACAGGUGCAUACACGACAGCUGCUUGUUCCCGCCUGGGGACAAGCCCCUCCUCAAUAGCAACUGGUUCUGGGUGCUGUCCAGAGCCAGGGGGAGGGGACAGGAGGAGGUAAGAAGUAACACAUGGCUUUCUACAUCACUUUCUGGUGCAACUCAAAAAUGAAGUGAUCGCAUAGGCGCCAGUGGUAAGCUCUUUUACUUUUCUUCUUCUUUAAUUUUUAAAAACACUUCAAUAUUUUAAUGUCCUGACCAGCAGCAGUACAAACACUAAAAGCAAGUUUUUUUGCCCAGAAAAACAAAAGCAAAAAAACAAACAAAACCCCCAAACAGGAAAACAAACAAACAAAAAUCCCCCCAAACCACAUAUUAAAAAUGGCAGGCUUUUUAUAACAAUAAUU